AGUGAACGCUGGCGGUAGGCCUAACACAUGCAAGUCGAACGGCAGCACAGUAAGAGCUUGCUCUUACGGGUGGCGAGUGGCGGACGGGUGAGGAAUACAUCGGAAUCUACUUUUUCGUGGGGGAUAACGUAGGGAAACUUACGCUAAUACCGCAUACGACCUACGGGUGAAAGCAGGGGAUCUUCGGACCUUGCGCGAUUGAAUGAGCCGAUGUCGGAUUAGCUAGUUGGCGGGGUAAAGGCCCACCAAGGCGACGAUCCGUAGCUGGUCUGAGAGGAUGAUCAGCCACACUGGAACUGAGACACGGUCCAGACUCCUACGGGAGGCAGCAGUGGGGAAUAUUGGACAAUGGGCGCAAGCCUGAUACAGCAAUACCGCGUGGGUGAAGAAGGCCUUCGGGUUGUAAAGCCCUUUUGUUGGGAAAGAAAAGCAGCAGGUUAAUACCCCGCUGUUCUGACGGUACCCAAAGAAUAAGCACCGGCUAACUUCGUG
rnacentral:rRNA from 1 species